ACGUGGAAGCACCAUGAAAAACAUUCCGAGAUCGCAAGCCGUUUUUAUGCGUUUGUAGAGGAACAAGCAUUGAUAAAAAACGAUGCCUAUCAAGAACUUUCCCAAGCUGAGCGUUGUAUCGAUGAGGGAGCUUCUGCAAAAGCCAAAUUUCCCUGCGAAUUCAGCAGUUGGUGUCAUAGUUAUCCCAAGUUGAAAGGUCAAAAACCUGUGAAGUGUUGUAUCUUCUUGGCGCUCUCAGCGCUCCGGAUUUUAUUAUCCCCAAAAUUUUAUUUCAGAUUCUAGGCAAAGUUUGGCUGGUACU